CAGUGGUGGUGGCAUUUCCCGACCUAGCGGGCGAUGCAUCUGUGCGUAUUUGACACGUAAAUUGAUGAAAAACCCGCUAUCACAGCGGGUUUUUUUGU
rfam:Idiomarina sp. MCCC 1A10513 contig1, whole genome shotgun sequence.